AUUGGACGCUGGCGGCAUGCUUAACACAUGCAAGUCGAACGCGAAAGUCCUUCGGGGCGAGUAGAGUGGCGGACGGGUGAGUAACGCGUGGGAAUCUACCCUAGAGCGGGGGACAACCCGGGGAAACCCGGGCUAAUACCGCAUACGUCCUACGGGAGAAAGAGGGCCUCUGCUUGCACGCUCUCACUCCAGGAUGAGCCCACGUCCGAUUAGCUAGUUGGUAGGGUAAAGGCCUACCAAGGCCACGAUCGGUAGCUGGUCUGAGAGGAUGAUCAGCCACACUGGGACUGAGACACGGCCCGA
rnacentral:rRNA from 1 species